rnacentral:rRNA from 1 species
UGGGGAAUAUUGCACAAUGGGCGCAAGCCUGAUGCAGCCAUGCCGCGUGUGUGAAUAAGGCCUUCGGGUUGUAAAGCACUUUCAUCUGGGAGGAAGGCGUUAAGGUUAAUAACCUUGGCGAUUGACGUUACCCGCAGAAGAAGCACCGGCUAACUCCGUGCCAGCAGCCGCGGUAAUACGGAGGGUGCAAGCAUUAAUCGGAAUUACUGGGCGUAAAGCGCACGCAGGCGGUCUGUCAAGUCGGAUGUGAAAUCCCCGGGCUCAACCUGGGAACUGCAUUCGAAACUGGCAGGCUAGAGUCUUGUAGAGGGGGGUAGAAUUCCAGGUGUAGCGGUGAAAUGCGUAGAGAUCUGGAGGAAUACCGGUGGCGAAGGCGGCCCCCUGGACAAAGACUGACGCUCAGGUGCGAAAGCGUGGGGAGCAAACAGG